rnacentral:rRNA from 1 species
ACUGCGGAGGGAUCAUUACUGAGUGAGGGCCUUCGGGCUCGACCUCCAACCCUUUGUGAACACAACUUGUUGCUUCGGGGGCGACCCUGCCGUUUCGACGGCGAGCGCCCCCGGAGGCCUUCAAACACUGCAUCUUUGCGUCGGAGUUUAAGUAAAUUAAACAAAACUUUCAACAACGGAUCUCUUGGUUCUGGCAUCGAUGAAGAACGCAGCGAAAUGCGAUAAGUAAUGUGAAUUGCAGAAUUCAGUGAAUCAUCGAAUCUUUGAACGCACAUUGCGCCCCUUGGUAUUCCGAGGGGCAUGCCUGUUCGAGCGUCAUUUCACCACUCAAGCCUGGCUUGGUAUUGGGCGCCGCGGUCAAUCCGCGCGCCUCAAAGUCUCCGGCUGAGCUGUCCGUCUCUAAGCGUUGUGAUUUCAUUAAUCGCUUCGGAGUGCGGGCGGCCGCGGCCGUUAAAUCUUUCAAAGGUUGACCUCGGAUCAGGUAGGGAUACCCGCUGAACUUAAGCAUAUCAAUAAGCGGGAGGAA